rnacentral:rRNA from 1 species
CAGCCGCCGCGGUAAUACGAAGGGGGCUAGCGUUGUUCGGAAUCACUGGGCGUAAAGCGCACGUAGGCGGAUUUUUAAGUCAGGGGUGAAAUCCCGAGGCUCAACCUCGGAACUGCCUUUGAUACUGGAAAUCUUGAGUCCGGGAGAGGUGAGUGGAACUGCGAGUGUAGAGGUGAAAUUCGUAGAUAUCGGAAGGAACACCUGUGGCGAAAGCGGCUCACUGGACCAUAACUGACGCUGAGGCACGAAAGCUAGGGGAGCAAACAGGAUUAGAUACCCCAGUAGUCCCUGUCUCUUAUAC